AUUGAACGCUGGCGGCAGGCCUAACACAUGCAAGUCGAACGAGUGGCGGACGGGUGAGUAAGGUCUGGGAAACUGACUGAUGGAGGGGGAUAACUACGGGAAACGGUAGCUAAUACCGCAUACCAUCGGAUGUGCCCAGAUGGGAUUAGCGAGUAGGUGGGGUAAAGGCUCACCUAGGCGACGAUCCCUAGCGUGGCUGAGAGGCUGACCAGCCACACUGGAACUGAGACACGGUCCAGACUCCUACGGGAGGCAGCAGUGGGGAAUCUUGCCCAAUGGGCGCAAGCCUGAUGCAGCCAUGCCGCGUGUAUGAAGAAGGCCUUCGGGUUGUAAAUUACUUUCAUCGGGGAGGCGUUACCCGCAGAAGAAGCACCGGCUAACUCCGUGCCAGCAGCCGCGGUAAUUC
rnacentral:rRNA from 1 species